GUCAAUGAUGAAAUAUCCACAUGGUUGAGGCGUGGUUGAUUUCGAGACCCUGUUCAUCAGGGAGAACCUACUCGGGAUUGCUAUGCUUUAUCAUGAAAUCAUUGGAAGUUUCUGAGAU